UAUCAUUAAUGUUUGAUGCGAUGUUAAAGUAGCAAUUGCUUUAUGAACGGCUGUAUGAAAUAACCUUGUUGUAAAACGAAGUUUUCGAAUUCUCUUCUGGUGUUAUAAAAGGGACUAUGAAAAACUCAGAAACGCAUUGUGUAGUCUUGUUGGUAAUUGUUGCUCAUUUUUUGUCUUCCGUUUAUUCGUCCUCAACGGAUACAGGCAACAAUGGCAUAACGAUUGACUGUGAAUGCAAGAAAACAGACUGUGUUAAUUAUUAUUGCAACUGUCAAACUUACUCAAAUACUACUGGAG